rnacentral:rRNA from 1 species
CCUACUGGUGGCAUCAUUAGGGCAUUUUGCGCAAUGGGCGAAAGCCUGACGCAGCAACGCCGCGUGAUUUCUUCCUCCCUUCGGGGUGUCCCUCUCUUUCCGUGGUUCCGCCCCUUGCCGGUCCCCCCCGCGGAAGCACCGGCUCACUCCGUGCCAGCAGCCGCGGUAAUCCGGAGGGUGCCCGCGUUGUCCGGCCUCCUUGGGCGUCCCGGGUUCGUCGGUGGCAGCUGAAGUCUGGUGUUAAAUGCAGAAGCUCAACUUCUGUUCGGCACUGGAUACUGGUAAGCUUGAAUGCGGUAGAGGUAAAGGGAAUUCCUGGUGUAGCGGUGAAAUGCGUAGAUAUCAGGAGGAACAUCGGUGGCGUAAGCGCUUUACUGGGCCGUAAUUGACACUGAGGAACGAAAGCCGGGGUAGCAAAUGGGAUUAGAGACCCGAGUAGUC